rnacentral:rRNA from 1 species
UACGAAGGGGGCUAGCGUUGCUCGGAAUUACUGGGCGUAAAGGGCGCGUAGGCGGCGCUGUUAGUCAGGCGUGAAAUUCCUGGGCUCAACCUGGGGACUGCGCUUGAUACGGCAGUGCUUGAGGAUGGAAGAGGCUCGCGGAAUUCCCAGUGUAGAGGUGAAAUUCGUAGAUAUUGGGAAGAACACCGGUGGCGAAGGCGGCGAGCUGGUCCAUUACUGACGCUGAGGCGCGACAGCGUGGGGGAGCAAACAGG